rnacentral:sRNA from 19 species
UUCAACACCCAUAAGCGAAUGCUUUCAGCAUUAUACUGAGGGCUUUAAAGAUAGCCUUAUUUGAGCAGAUUGCUAUAAACAAAUUUUCUAGUGCCGUUAUUAGAAGAGUUUAAAUUUGUACCUUGGGGUGUGCUACUAGCUUCAAGCCUUGUA